GUACCAGACUCCUACGGGAGGCAGCAGUGGGGGAUAUUGCACAAUGGGGGAAACCCUGAUGCAGCGACGCCGCGUGAGUGAAGAAGUAUUUCGGUAUGUAAAGCUCUAUCAGCAGGGAAGAAAAUGACAGUACCUGACCAAGAAGCCCCGGCUAGCUACGUGCCAGCAGCCGCGGUAAUACGUAGGGGGCAAGCGUUAUCCGGAUUUACUGGGUGUAAAGGGAGCGUAGACGGUUAUGUAAGUCUGGAGUGAAAGCCCGGGGCCCAACCCCGGGACUGCUCUGGAAACUGCCUGGCUGGAGUACAGGAGAGGUAAGUGGAAUUCCUAGUGUAGCGGUGAAAUGCGUAGAUAUUAGGAGGAACACCAGUGGCGAAGGCGGCUUACUGGACUGUAACUGACGUUGAGGCUCGAAAGCGUGGGGAGCAAACAGGAUUAGAUACCCGAGUACA
rnacentral:rRNA from 1 species